rnacentral:lncRNA from 1 species
AGGAGAGUGACAUUCCAAUUUUCUCCCAAUUCUAUUGGAAGGUCAAUCUUAAAUGCUGUAUAGGAGGAUCUCAUUGAGAAGAUAUCAUUUGAGCAAAGAUGUAAAGCAAGGGAGGGAAUGAGUCAGUGGCUACAUAGCGAGAGUGUCCUAGGCAGAGGAAACAGCUUCUACAAAAGCCCUGAAGCAAGAGAAUGUUUGAAGUGUUCAAGAAUAAACAGGAGAUGCAGAAUGAAUGGAAUUGAGAAGAGACUAAUAUGGGGCAGCACUGAAGACUGCUGACAGCAGCCACAUGAGUGAGCUCAGAGUGGACACAACAGCCCCUUCAGAGGCUGCAGGGAUGGCAGACAGCCUGACUGCAAUGUCGUGAAAGAUGCUGAGGCAGAACCAUGCAGCAAAGUCAUUCCCAGAUUCCUGACUCUCAGAAAAUGUCCCAGGCUUCCUGAUAUCAACAUCAUCCAAGGUGACUUUCUGGAAUAAAAGAGGAAUGUGAGAACAUCUGGUAGGGGAUGGCUCAAUAAAGAAAAAGUACAGGGAAUACCCAGCAGCCAAUCUGAAACUGCCAUUCAUAAAGAACUCAUCACAUAGGGAAAGGGCAUAUGGAGUUAUUAAGAAAAAGAACAGAAAGAGUGGGGAAGCUGCAAAAAUGAGUCCUCUGUGUUCAGCCACGUUCCCUGCCAUGUCGAUGA